AUGGCAUGCAGCAUAUAUACCCCUACAAAUAGUUCUAAAAUGCGUUUGCAAAUGCAGAAGUCUUCAGAACCUUCCAACAGUUCAGAACACCCUUUUUAUCUCUUCUCUGCGGGACGUCUCCUCCAGAUUACUCGAAAAAAGCGGAAAAGAUCGCAUUGGAAUAUAGAGCCAGAUUGUCAGCUGCAUAACUACAUUGAAGGCAAGGAAACUAGCAUAACUACAUUGAAGGCAAGGAAACAUCCGGUUUACACCAGCCGAGGAUCUCGCUGAUAGUUUUACCCCUCUCAAUCACGAAAAGCUGGAUGUCACAUUUCAACAACAUAGAGCAAAGGAGUGGGGAAAAGAGAGGUGUGUUUUUAAGCAGGCCAAUGGAAUGAACUGUAAGUAAAUUAGUUUUCCAGUAAAUAUGUCCUGUAAUAAUAAUAUUGUGGCAUAUUAUUUUUAUGUAAUGGAGGAAAUGGUGGAAUAGGCAUAUGGAAAUACCUUUAAAGUUGAAAGAAGACACACAGCUGCUUGCAUCUAAAAUAUAGGGUCUGAUUCUCCGCUCACUUCCAUCAGCUUUAUGCUGGUGUAUCUUUACUAUCUUCAGCAGAGUUAGUCUUGACUUACACGAACAUAAGCUAGAGGAGAAUCAGGCCCAGCAAGUUCUGAAGUAAGGCCCCUGAUUCACUGAGGUACUUAAGUAUAUGAUGGAUUUUAAAUAGGGCUAGUUGGAAAACAACUAUUCUGUUUCAUUAGAAAUUUCAAGAUUUUGGCAUUUUCUUUAGUUCCAAAGUGGAACCCUGAGACUUUAUGAAUUUGUUUGAGAAGGGGAGAGAGAGCCUACCCAACCCAAAAUAUCCAAGUGAUUCAGGCACUCACCUGUGAUGUGGAAGAUACAGGUUUAAGACC
rnacentral:lncRNA from 1 species